UUACCCUACUAAGUUACUGCGCCGUACUCUGUAGUACUAGUACUUACUCAUAGAUCGUCCAUUGAUUUGUUUGGUCGACGCCCGGCUUCUGAGAUUAGCUGAACUCAAAGAUUAAUUAAAUUAUCUGAUCGAGAAGCUCGAUCCGACCUGUGAUCAGACCUAAGUUUGUUUUUCCUCCCAUCCUCAUAUCCUUCUUCGGGCCUAGUCGUCUUCGCCACCUAGGCAAGUCUAGCCAGCCACAACCCGGAUGCGGCAGGACAGGAAAGUAUUGAUUCAUCAGAUAUCUCGAGAGCAUGGACAGACUCUAUACGGAGUACUACGAGGACUCUCUGUCGGCGUCUCAUGACAAGAAAAUGCGUUCCUGCACAAUGCCGGAAUUGGCUACUACCAUGCCGAUACUCCCGGAGGUGCACCCAGCCUGCAUGCACAUACUAUCUAUGUACAUUACAGACGUACUCCCGAGAUAUCUACCCAAGUCGCAUCCCCUACCUACCCACCUACCAAAUCGAGUACUCCACUUUUCAUCUUCCAACUUCCAAGGCCCAUCAUGAAUCAUGAUUUUAUCCCUGCAAACUGCUUCACGACAUGCCGAUCGGUACGGAGUACGGAGGACUAGAGCAAUACAUAUGCUGAUGUGGAAGCGUUUCUCCUUUUAAAAAAUUGAUCGAUUUCAACUCGGAUCUCAACUUAGAUACACACAUACAAAGACGAUCGGUAGAUAGACAAAUACUAGCACCCCCCAAGAUCCAUCCGAUCGAAGCGUGCCCGUUGCCAGGCUUCCUGGGCAGGAAGAAAUUCUGUCCGGCGAUUUUCGUCGCUGUCGGUCGUCGUACGCGUACGACGUGACCUGCCAAACCCUAAAUGUAGUUAGUUACCUAAAUUGGGCCGAGAUUGAUCAAUCCUCCGUUUAUCCGAGUCGUUGUUCAUCCAUCAUCCAUCAUCCAGUCAUCAAAAAAAAAAAAAAAAAAAAAAAAAAAAAAAAAAGAAGGAUAAAUUCAAGACUAAGGUCCUUUUUAUUCUAGAUGAGUCAUAGAACAUUUGAUGGUCACACUUCUUUAACUGUCUGAAAGGAUCAUCGAGUUAUCCAUGUUGUCAGCAUACCUAUUGGAAAUAACUAUGGCAAUAUAGAAAUGUAUGCACCCUCUAUGUAAGAACCUCCGCGGAGAUAAGAUACCUAGUGUACCCAGCUGGCCCAAGCCAAUACCCGAGAUCC
rnacentral:lncRNA from 1 species